CAAAAACAUGUCCUUUUGAUAAUAAUUUAAGGUCAGGCCUGCCCAAUGAUUAUUUUGAAUGGCCGCAGUAUUUUGACUGUGCAAAGGUAGCAUAAUCAUUAGUUUCUUAAUUAGAAGCUGGUAUGAAUGGUUUGAUGAAAAAUUGACUGUCUCGAUUUAAAUGAUUUUGAAUUUUAUUUUUAAGUGAAAAAGCUUAAAUUUUUUAUAAAGACGAGAAGACCCUAUAGAGUUUAAUAUUAAUAGUUUUUAUUAUUUUAAGGUUUUGGUUUAUUUUGAUAAUUAUUAGUAUUUUGUUGGGGUGACAUUAAAAUUUAAUAAACUUUUAUUUUUAAAAACAUUAAUUUAUGAGUUACUGAUCCUAUUGUUUAGAUUAUAAGAAAAAAUUACCUUAGGGAUAACAGCGUAAUUUUUUUGGAAAGUUCUUAUUGAUAAAAAAGUUUGCGACCUCGAUGUUGGAUUAAAAUUUAAUUUGGGUGU
rnacentral:rRNA from 1 species